CACCGCUAUUCGGCCUUGCCAAGAGAUGUGGUCGUACGACCAUCUCGACAGGUCCGUCAGUAUAGUGCGUAAGAGGGGUGUAACUGUACUUAUUUCUUGUCUCUUGUAAUAAGCUAUGUUACCAUCAUAACUCUAGGAAGGGGGGUGUAUUGACUCAGUUGGGAAUUGUGGAGUAUUAACCAGGGAAUUGAAAAUUUGGGGCAUGACUAGGGGUGUGAAUUUGAAAAGUUCAUCUCUGGCCUACAAUUUGCAUGUUCCUUGUUCAUUAUGCAGUUACAACCUUAGUCAUAGGGACACUCCGGACCAUAAAGCAGUUUAUCUUGCUGAAAUUCUUUGUGUGAAGAGUGUUGUGGCAGUAUACCACAAGUAACCAGGUUGCCACCGUCAAGGUAGUCCUUACCCUUGUGUUUAUAACCUCAAAGUGAUUAAGCUCUCUUCUGCAAUGUGUAUAGCUAGCUCACCCAAGCACUAGUCGAAACUUAGUAGUGAUUUAUUGGGAAAAUGUCACAUUUCAUACCUGCUGACUCAACAGGAGGUCUCCAGGGAAAACAACACAAUUGCAACAUCACUGCCGCCUUGGUGUCUGAACCUGAGUAGAUCAUUUAAUUAGCGGCCACACACCUUGGCACCAGGACACAAAAUACAAUAUAACGUUAGUUCCCGUGUCCACAUCCCCACACAACCGGUGUCCCCAGCUUGGUUUAGAGCGCCCACGUAGUCCAAAAAGUGACCAGAUCGGAGGUGGCUAGUCCAAGUUAGGUUGAAGUCCAAAUUUUCAGCGUGUUGCGGCUAGCCUCCAAUCUGACGUUGGGUUUCAUGACGAUGAGUAGAGUUUCCCAGUCACCUUAAAGGACAGCGCUUUCAGUGAGUACACAGUCUAAGUCAUUGGUGUCAUUUGAUUCCUCGCCACCUGCUCUAUCAUCCCUCCAAAAAGCGUCACCAUUGCUAGUCCUGGGCCAUCAGUGACAUUCUAGGGGGAUCACGGCAACGCCGUGAUUCAAUCCAGAUUUUAGAGUUUUAGUGCUGCUCCCAGUCAGGCGUUCUGGACCCCUGGCCGAUGUGGGGAGACUCUAGGAAGGGGCUGUAUUGGCAUUUAAUGGUGAUUAAUGUCUUUUAUGAGUGGGGUGACAGAUGGGGAGACUUGUACCCAUCCUAAGUGCCAAAGUGGUCCAUCACAAGUGUGCCCUCUUUUUAUUCAUUUUACAAAAAGUGCAGAAUAGAAAUUGGCACUUUUAUAAAUCGACCUUGCCUCAUCCCCCUGGCUGUCAAUCAGACAAGAGGUCCUGUUACUUCCUAGUUUGUUUGGCUCAGUGGAACUAAACUCAAAAAGCAGCAAUUGCCCAGUGCUCCUGCCUCCAUUGCCUACAUUGGGGAGUUUGUGAUUGGACAGCUACAGAAAGUCUGGGCAGGGAAAACAAGCUGUGAUUUUUAUUUCUUUUUGUUUGAGCAGUGGAGUGUCCCUUUAAUAACCAUGUGCCAUUCCCAGAAUCCUCACCUGUCCAGUUAGGAGGCUAAUGAUCUCCAGGGUAAGAUUGAAGACCUUUGUAGUCACC